rnacentral:rRNA from 1 species
AGAGUUUGAUUCUGGCUCAGAGCAAACGCUGGCGGCGUGCCUAAUACAUGCAAGUCGAACGGGGAAAGGCUUCGGCCGAGUACUAGUGGCGCACGGGUGAGGAACACGUGGGUAAUCUGCCUUCGAGUGGGGGAUAACUAGUCGAAAGAUUAGCUAAUACCGCAUAAGACCACAAGAUCUGCGGAUCAAGAGGUCAAAGGAGCAAUUCGCUCGAAGAUGAGCCCGCGUAAGAUUAGCUAGUUGGUGAGGUAAUGGCUCACCAAGGCUGUGAUCUUUAACUGGUCUGAGAGGAUGAUCAGUCACACUGGAACUGAGACACGGUCCAGACUCCUACGGGAGGCAGCAGUAGGGAAUAUUGCGCAAUGGGGGAAACCCUGACGCAGCGACGCCGCGUGAGUGAUGAAGGCCUUCGGGUCGUAAAGCUCUGUUGCAGGGGAAUAAAAAAAUGAAGGUACCCUGUGAGGAAGGAUCGGCUAACUUCGUGCCAGCAGCCGCGGUAAGACGAGGGAUCCUAGCGUUGCUCGGAAUCAUUGGGCGUAAAGAGGGCGUAGGUGGCUUGGUAAGUCAGGUGUGAAAGCCCAGGGCUCAACCCUGGAAGUGCAUUUGAUACUGCUGAGCUUGAGUGUCGGAGAGGUUACCGGAAUACCUGGUGUAGUGGUGAAAUACGUAGAUAUCAGGUGGAACACCGGAGGCGAAGGCGGGUAACUGGACGAACACUGACACUGAGGCCCGAAAGCGUGGGGAUCAAACAGGAUUAGAUACCCUGGUAGUCCACGCCGUAAACG